GCCCUGGUGCCUGAUAUCCAGCUCCGGCAGCCUAGAAAAUCAGUUAGGCUUUUCAGUCACAGCACCCUCUGUGACAAACGUGUGGAGCACCGCACGACUUCUUCAACCAGCUGGUUUUUCUGGCAUUCGAAUAAAAGUAAAAAUAGAAAACAAAGAGGGAGAAGAAAAGUGACAAGCUGAAACCUGCGAAGAGAAAGAGGACAAGAACCUGUAUGUACCCAGUGGUGUGGAUAAAUCGUUAUGUAUCUGCCUACGCAUUGUCAGAAAUACAGCAGCCUAAGUAGCCAUUCAAGGAAUUUAGAGUAAAGUACCAUGGUCAGAAUUCAAGAUAUAGCCACUACAGGAUCUGAAAUGCCAUCUGUUCCAACCGCACGACAUCCCCAUUCAGCAGGCUCACAAGGCUGGCAUAGACAGGAAGAGG
rnacentral:lncRNA from 1 species